AUUGAACGCUGGCGGCAGGCCUAACACAUGCAAGUCGAGCGAGCGGAGGAGGGGUGAGUAAUGUAUGGGGAUAUGCCUGAUGGCGGGGGAUAACAACUGGAAACGGUAGCUAAUACCGCAUACCAUCGGCUGAACAAAUGUGGGAUUAGCUAGUAGGUGAGGUAACGGCUUACCUAGGCGACGAUGCCUAGCUGGUUUGAGAGGCUGAUCGGCCACAUUGGGACUGAGACACGGCCCAGACUCCUACGGGAGGCAGCAGUGGGGAAUCUUCCACAAUGGGCGCAAGUCUGAUGCAGCCAUGCCGCGUGUAUGAAGAAGGUCUUCGGUUUGUAAAGCUCUUUCGUUCGGGAGGCGGUACCCACCGAGGAAGCCCCGGCUAACUCCGUGCCAGCAGCCGCGGUAAUUC
rnacentral:rRNA from 1 species